rnacentral:rRNA from 1 species
GGCAGCCGCGGUAAUUCCAGCUCCAAUAGCGUGUAUUAAAGUUGUUGCAGUUAAAAAGCUCGUAGUUGAAUUUCGGGAUCAAGGAAUCGGUCAUGCCUCGGUAUGUACUGGUUUUAUUGGUUCUCACCUUCUAAAGAACCAUAAUGUCAUUCAUUUGAUGUUAUGGGGAAUUAGGACUGUUACCUUGAAAAAUUAGAGUGUUUAAAGCAGGCUUACGCUUGAAUACAUUAGCACGGAAUAAUGAAAUAGGACAUCAGAUUCUAUUUUGUUGGUUUCUAGGAUCGAUGUAAUGAUUAAUAGGGAUAGUUGGGGGCAUUAGUAUUCAAUUGUCAGAGGUGAAAUUCUUGGAUUUAUUGAAGACUAACUACUGCGAAAGCAUUUGCCAAGGAUGUUUUCAUUAAUCAAGAACGAAAGUUAGGGGAUCGAAGACGAUCAGAUACCGUCGUAGUCUUAACCAUAAACUAUGCCGACUAGGGAUCGGAUGAUGUUAAUUUUUAAUGUACUCA